rnacentral:rRNA from 1 species
UACGGAGGGGGCUAGCGUUGUUCGGAAUUACUGGGCGUAAAGCGUACGUAGGCGGCUUGGUAAGUUAGAGGUGAAAGCCUGGGGCUCAACCCCAGAAUUGCCUUUAAGACUGCCUCGCUUGAACGUCGGAGAGGUGAGUGGAAUUCCGAGUGUAGAGGUGAAAUUCGUAGAUAUUCGGAAGAACACCAGUGGCGAAGGCGGCUCACUGGACGACUGUUGACGCUGAGGUACGAAAGCGUGGGGAGCAAACAGG